UCCUGUAUCUGUCUGAGAAUAGAUUUGGA
rnacentral:piRNA from 1 species